rnacentral:misc_RNA from 1 species
GCAAACUUGGUCAUUUAGAGGAAGUAAAAGUCGUAACAAGGUUUCCGUAGGUGAACCUGCGGAAGGAUCAUUACAAGGGUUUCAAAAAAUUGUCCAUGGGUCUCCCCCAAACUUUUUGUUUGGGAUCCCCACGGCAAUUUCAACCACGAUCAUCCACCGUGUGCACUCAUUGAACUAUAAUUUAUUUUAUAGUUCUAAAAAAUCUUUUCCAAGUCUUUUACUGUUUGUCUGAUAUUACAAAAAACAAAUUAUAGUACAACUUUCAACAACGGAUCUCUUGGCUCUCGCAUCGAUGAAGAACGCAGC